UCAAUCUGUCAAAAAAAAAAAAUGGAACGUUUGAGCGACUGUCUCGUGUUUGAGAGAGAAGGGGGGGGGGGGAGAGAAAAAUUGCGAGAGGGUGAGAAGAAAAAAGGUUGUUCGUUCGUUCGGUCGGGCGAGCGAGGUAUUGGGGGCUUGCGUAAUCCGCCGGAAACUCGCUCGUCAUGGCAACCGUAAACACGCCGCUUGCGCGUAGAUCGCGUGCGUGUGUUUCGUAUAUCGCCAGUCGCGUUGUUUUGUUCACUCUACGUUCGAUGGAGAACUGACCGUUUUGUUCCUCUCCGUUCUUCUGCUUCUUUUUCUUCCGAUACUAAUUUUUUUUUUAUUUUCAUUCUUUUAUUCCACAUGCUACUUUGACGAUUCUUCAUUUUUUCCUCGCUGUCUGUUUGACAAUUCUCUCACGAGAGUAUUUGCCACAGAAAUUUUCUCCGCGGCGGUCGCCGUAGUAAAAUAAUCCUCGCGCAAGAUAUCUCGAUGUGCGGAUACUGCGCGUCGGCAUUAAUUCACUCGACAGUCAACGAUCGACGAAACGAUCAAAUGCUCACGGCAAUAAUAAUAAUACUAACAACAAUGAUAAAACGACGAGUUAUUUCGUCCAAUGGGAUCAUCGAUCAGGACAUUUUUCAGCGUGCUUCGUGCCCGUAUUUUUUUAAUUCCGUGCUUCGAGGGCGCGCAUUUUUUCCAAUUUCCAUGAGAUGCUCUUUCGGGCUAAAUUAUUCAAACGAAUAUCGGCUUCCGGUGAACCGGAAAUCGGCCCUCUAUAGAUAGAAUUUUCUCUCUUUCUCCCUCCUUCCAUUCCUUUCCCUCGCGUCUAACAAUCGACGAGAAAACAUGCAGCUUCAGAUCGCUUCGAGAUCACGAGAGGAUUAUUUUAUCUGCCACUCCUUCGCUCAGGUCUAACGCCUGGGAAUAUUAUUGCAGAGGCUCGGGAGCGCGCGCGCGCGCGCUGGAAAAUUCAUAAAUAAUUGAUACUCGGGCGAGGAUGGUACUAGCGACCCUGAGACUCGUCGAUACGUUUGAAUAGCGCGGAUAGGUCGAGCCUUUAUUGUUUAUAUAUCGCCGGUGGUUCGUGGCUUCGGAGCUUGCUAUAAAUUCUAUCAAAUGCUUCAUUCAUAAAUUUCAAUAUCAUUUGGAUUCGCUGCGUGCGAAAAUUGAGCGUUCGAAAUUUUCAGUUUUCAUCAUUUUUAUUAUGGAAUAUCUAACACCGAAGUCAGCCGUUGGAGAUAUUCCGCGGGAAUGGCCAAAUGAGGAGAAUUCAUUGAACAAAAAGAACACUUUUUUCUCACAUUCGGGACGAAUGGACGAAUUUAUUUCUCGAAUAAAUGGCUGAAUUUCGCGAACCUCGAGCCCUUUCGCAAGUGUGUGCCACGAUUCGUCAUCUCCGAGAACCCACGUGGCCUAAUCGUCACAUUUGAGCAUGCAAAUAAUAAAUGUGAUUGAAUCUUCCGCCAACGGAUUUUUCGAGGGAGAGGAAAACAUGAGGACUCCCGGAAUAGAAAGUAUACCGUUAAGGCCCACGCGGACAGAGUUACCGAAGGGCAACUCGGGGCAAAUUAUUGUUUUCCCAAAAUACUAGGACGAAAGGGUUCAUCCCGAACGAAGUAGACGAAGAAACGGGCAGGCUCAAGCCCCAAAAGACGAACCUCCUUGCGUAUCGUAGACUUGACGUUGCACGACUCAUCCUUUGACCCAGAGAACAUCGAGGCACGACUCCUGGGAUGAAGCGAGUCCCGAAGCGAUCUUCUUCCGCCUUGAGAUCGAUUCUUGGUCGCGACUCGUCUCAAGCAGCAGGUUACUUGGACAUGGACGCUUGGUUAUUCGGAGAAAGAGAGAAUCGACAUUGAAUAUUCUCAUCUAUUUUCUCGAUCUUGGAUACUCUCGCCGGGGAGGAUGUGACAGAGGAGGAGACGAAGACGAAGAGGCAGUGAAUAAAAUGAGAAAAGCGAAAAGCGAAUGGUUGAUGAGGCUUGGCAAGGAUCGGAGAAACAGAUUUCAGGCAUUUAUCAUUCGGGAGAUCUCUCUUCGAUUUUCUCUUCUUUUUGUGAGAGAGAACAGAAGUUAUAUUAGAAGUAGCGAAAGGCGAAAGACAGAAAAAGUUCGUACACUAUUUUUAUAAAACUUUCGUCGAUUUUCCAUCUUUUCGAAUAUCAGUCGAUUUGCAAGGGUGUAUGAUCAACACUGUGACAAAGUUCGUUGCAAAAAAGUAGUUGGAAUUAUCUACUUGACGAGGGAGAUGCGAAAAGUUGGGGUCACGAAUUUUCUAACCUCAAAAAAUGACACAUUUCAACGCGUUCGGUCGUUCCAUGACUAGUCAAGUUUGCAACUACUUUAUGUUGAUUAAUUUCAAGUCUAAAUUGUUAAUAAAAUUAACAAACACUUACAUUGAGAAUAUUUUUAUCACAAGAAUGUAAUAAAAUGCUUUAAAAAUAUCAUAGACGAUAAAAUUUAUACUUCAACUUGACUACAGUUAAUGAUCGCGAGUCCGACACUUCUUCGAGUACACAUAACCUAGAAAACAUUUUUAUUGUGCAAAAGAAAGUUUAUUAAUCGGUGUAAUGGCACCGAGAAAAAGGGAUGGUCAAUUGCCUGAAGUUCAAUCGCAGCUGUAAAAUUUUUUGACAAUUAAUAUUAUUGUGAGUUCUUCCGUAUUAGGGUACCGUGUAUUAAAACUCAAAAUUGUAAAUGUAAUAAUUAAAGUUUACCGCAAAAAAAGUG